AUGAAAAUCACACUGGACUGGAAUAAUACUGCUUAGAAAUAGGAUAAGGGUCAAAAAUUUUUCUCACAAUCUUUAGUAAAAGAUAUUAUUUAUAUACUUUAAAAUCACCACAGAAUGCUGAUUAUUGGUUCUGUAACUUUCACAGAAGUAAAAGUGGAUAUCCAGGUGAAAGUUCUUUUUAAACUAAGACCAAUCAAUUGUAAGAGGAGUCACUCAAACCUGUGUCUCCCAAAAUUACCUUAGGAUCAAAUUAUGAUUUUCAUUUCCAUCAAACAUCAAAAUAUUAAACUUCCCUUUAAAAAGAUGUUUGAGAUUGUCCCCAGGAUCUCUAGAAAAACAGGUUCACAAUUCCCCAGUGCUCCUGAGAAGCACAUUCUGGCCCUGAGGAAGAAGCUGACUGUGACAGAAGCAACUUGAAUCAAAACAUUCAACUUGAUCUACUUGUCCAAAGGAGGGGAAAGAAUCCACAUGACUUGGACUUUUCUGAUUACAUACUAUGCGGGAUUGCUUAGAAUUUCAGUGUGGAGAUUUCCUUUUGAAAUCUCAAUACCUCCUAUUCAGUAAUCUCCUUCCAAUAUAAAUACACAGGCACUCUAGGCUCCUAAGAAGGUUCCCUCUGUCAGCAUCAAUUAGUAGAUGUUGAUGUGAAGUCUAUCAAGCACAGCAAAAACUGGCCUGGCCAGGUCUAGUCUCCCUUCUCUUGUCUACUGCUAGCAUCUCCACAGCUGGCCUCCUUCAGAUUCCUCUAAUUCCCAGGUUCCAUAUAACCAGUCAUCAUGAGGAUCUUCUACCUGGCUUUUCUGCUGUUCUUCAUGAUCUACUACUACACCAACACAGGUUAUGGCAAUCUACAAUACUCUAGAAAAUGUGGGAAGACAUGGGGUUUAUGUGCAUAUAUAGCCUGUGUACCUCCAAAAGUUAUCAUAGGAAGAUGUGCUACCAUGUUAAAAAUUUGUUGUGACAGUCCACUGUUUAGAGUAAAAAAUGUCACACAGAAGCCUUUUUUUAACCCAUUCCAAUUUUGGGGUGGGAAGAAGAAGAAGAAGGUGACAAAAAAAAGAGGUUGAAAUGCAUGGAAUUUUUUUUAAUAAAGGAAACGCCAUUUUGAUAAUAUUGUUUUCU
rnacentral:lncRNA from 1 species